GAUGAACGCUGGCGGCGUGCCUAAUACAUGCAAGUCGAGCGAACGGACGAGAAUCUUGCUUCUCUGAUGUUAGCGGCGGACGGGUGAGUAACACGUGGAUAACCUACCUAUAAGACUGGGAUAACGUCAGGAAACCGUAGCUAAUACCGGAUGAUAUUUUGAACCUCAUGGUUCAAAAGUGAAAUACGUUCUUGCUGACACUUAUAGAUGGAUCCGCGCUGCAUUAGCUAGUUGGUAAGGUAACGGCUUACCAAGGCAACGAUGCAUAGCCGACCUGAGAGCGUGUACGGACACAUUGGAACUGAGACACGGUACAGACACUUACAGGAGGCAGCAGUAGGGAAUCUUCCGCGAUGGGCGAAAGCCUGACGGAGCAACGCCGGGUGAGUGCUGAAGGUCUUCGGAUCGUAAAACUCUGUUAUUAGGGAAGAACAUAUGUGUAAGUAACUGUGCACAUCUUGACGGUACCUAGUCAGAAAGCCACGGCUAACUACGUG
rnacentral:rRNA from 1 species